rnacentral:rRNA from 1 species
GACGAACGCUGGCGGCGUGCUUAACACAUGCAAGUCGAACGGAAAGGCCCUGCUUUUGUGGGGUGCUCGAGUGGCGAACGGGUGAGUAACACGUGAGUAACCUGCCCUUGACUUUGGGAUAACUUCAGGAAACUGGGGCUAAUACCGGAUAGGAGCUCCUGCUGCAUGGUGGGGGUUGGAAAGUUUCGGCGGUUGGGGAUGGACUCGCGGCUUAUCCGCUUGUUGGUGGGGUAGUGGCUUACCAAGGCUUUGACGGGUAGCCGGCCUGAGAGGGUGACCGGCCACAAUGGGACUGCGAUAGGGACCAGACUCCUACGGGAGGCAGCAGUGGGGAAUAUUGCACAAUGGGCGGAAGCCAGAUGCAGCAACGCCGCGUGCGGGAUGACGGCCUUCGGGUUGUAAACCGCUUUCGCCUGUGACGAAGCGUGAGUGACGGUAAUGGGUAAAGAAGCACCGGCUAACUACGUG